UAGCUUAACCUUCGGGAGGGCGUUUACCACGGUGUGAUUCAUGACUGGGGUGAAGUCGUAACAAGGUAACCCUAGGGGAACCUGGGGUUGGAUCACCUCCUUACCUUAA
rnacentral:rRNA from 1 species